CGAUGAGGAUGAGGAUGAGGACUGACUGUCUUAAGAAGCAGAAGAAGGAGGAGGGGAGGGGAAGGGAAGGGUGAACGCGCCGUCCCGUCCCGGUCCAGAUCCCCGUAGGUGGGGGGGAACGGGGAGGUGGAGGUGGAGGAGGAGGAGCAGGGAGUGGAGUGAGCCACUCGCUGUGGUCGGCAGGACAGGUCCCGGAGGUAGGGAGGGUUGGGUCGAAACUGGCCCGACGAGGGAAGGUAAGGGAAGGGAAAGGGAGGCGGCAGUCAGGCCAGGUGGCAGGGGAGGGGGCGGAAGGCGCACACGCGCGGGCACGCGGAUAGUAGUGGGAGGAGCGGGGGAAAGGGGCAGCGAAGGGAAGGACGGGCCUAGCCUGGGUGCCGGGGCUCCUUAGCACGACGACGAGCCCAAAGCGGAGCAGCGCCCGUUGGCGUGGCGGGGGUUCGUCGUCGCCGCUACUCCACGGACGGCAAGGACGUGCCCCUGCCGUUCAGUUCCCUGCUGCUGGUCGCGUGCCCGGGGUCGCGGCGGUACAGCCGGAGGCACGCGAGGAAGUCGUGGCUCAGGUGCCUCGCGCCGCCGCUGGGCGCGAGGCCGAGGCUGGAGUUGAGGUAGUUGCACAGGCUGUACUCGCGGCUCAGGUAGGCGGCCUGCGUCAUGGGGUCGAAGUGGCUGGCGGGGCGGUUGGAGGCCCAGAAGUGGAAGGGGCUCGAGUUCCGGCGGUGGGCGUUGAAGUCGGCGAGGGAGUACCAGCCGCUCCCGCCGAAGCCGACGCAGAUGGCCCCGCAGUAGUUCCCGAGGCUGCUGGGGUGGCUCGCGCAGCUCUAGCGGCAGUUCGUCAACUUGGCGUUCCCCCAGGUCCCCGUCUUCCUUACCGAUUGUCUUUACUUGCACGAACCCUAACAACUCGUGGGUUUGGAACAGUUUGAUUAUCCAAUGACGCGCCUGCUGCUACUCGCCCCUUACGUCGCCGAAGACCAUAUGCUUAUGUACGGGUUGCCUUCGCACCUACUGGUGAACCGUUCAUCCAGUUGAAGUUGAGACAGUACCGGUUACUCUAACUUUCACCGAGAGCUACGACGGGCACCCGACUUCAUAGACGUACUCCUCUACCUGAAAGUCCAAUAAAAGGCUCUGGACUUUUGUAGAUUGUAAGAUAAUCUACUCUUGACCUUACGUUUCAAUAGCCUGAAACCCAACCGAUCCGUACCUGGUGUUCUUCCCGAUAGGGUACAGAGGUGUCGCCAACAACCUUGAGAUCCUAUGCGGCGCGGCCUCAUGUACGUUUGGCCCGCGGAGUGGCGUUUUUCACUGUAUACCCCGAUGCCGCACGAGGAGAUGCUCGAAUAGUGGCCGGCGGCAGGGUAGCUGGCCUUGGCGGGUUUCCCGCUCGUCUUCGAGGACCUGACCCACUUUGGCAUGUAGAGACUGUAGUUCGCCAAGGGGUAGUAGCAGCUGGGCGCCGAGCUCCCUGUGAUGUUGGAGUUCAGGUACUGCUCCGACCGGCCGCACCGCUUGGCGACGGAGGAGGCCGAUAGGUUCAGCGCGGGCUUCUACUCGCUCCACAUACUUUACCACGUCUUCUAGCAGCUGUCACAGCUCCAGCCGGGCGGCCUCGGAGGUGACGUAAUGGUACCGAGCCACAGGCCUGGCCCUCGCUUCGCCUGGUUCUUUCCCAGUAACUUCUCCUCCGAAGUCCUUAAGUUCAAGCCAACGGCGGUCUAGCACACCGCCCCAACCUUUGGACUCUAGUAAUUCUGGACGACUUUACCUACGGUGGGGAGGACGGACACUGACCUUACUAAGCCUAAGUUCGUUUCUACACUGGACUUGGAUGACCUAAAGACGGGUGGUUAUCCUCCUACGCGGAAUAGAGCUCAACCCGACGACUUACUAGACUUAUAGACUACGACCCACCAUGUCCAUGUAAGGACGGCCGGUAGGAAAAACGAGUCUAUUCUGGGUCUGGGUCUACGAGUGUAGUCUUUCUCUGGAGAAACAUGUUGACCCUCUUAAAGAACCACGAUCGUGUAUGUAUCCCCUCCGAUGUCCAGUCGAGCUGAAAAGGUAGCCUGACAGAUGUACUAACUAGUAAACAAUGGUCUCUUGUCUACUACUAUUUUUAGAGGUGGCGUUUAUUAGGUCGUUUCUAGUACGGCCAUGGCUUUAAAGCGGUCUCCUUUUACUCAAGGACCACGGCCAGAGUAAGACGACAAGGGAACAACGACAUCUAACAUGACGUGACAACCGACCUUGGUUUCUUUAAGACAAUGAAAGACGUGUCACUUGUGAAAGGUAAGGUAGUAGUCUUGUAGAGGUAGGAGGGGGUUAAAAAGAGGCCGCUGUACCACGUAUACCCACCUCGUCUUAACCUCCGUCUAGAAGGACACCACCCGUCGUUGGCACCCCGAGGAAAGCCGAAGCUGCUUAGCCUGGCCAGCCAGCAGGCUAAGCGGACAGCUGCUUCUUAGCUGAACCGGGGGUCCUUGGGACGGAAAGAGGGGGGAGCAACACCUGCGUCUCUUCUCCUCCACUCCACUCCAGGUAGAGUAGAGUGAGAGUAGAAGACUGUAGAGUAUACGGACGGGACAGUUCCGGUAGUGGUAAGGACCACGGGUAGUAGAAGUCUCUAAUCGUGUACCUAACACACUGCCACCACGUAGUAGAAGUCUUUUGGUCCACGUCUCAUACACACUGUACACCUCGUCUACCACUAGACGGGCUGGACGGUGUACCAAACGGUAAACGUCGGUGACGAAACACGGUCAGCGGUGGCUACCGCUCCCGAUGGACGGCUCUUUAGGCCGUCGUAAGUACGUCAAGGAAAGGAGUGAUCAAAUACCGAAAAGAGGGAAGCGUCUUUCAAAGUCUCAAUUUUUGGCAGGUCUCCAGUGGUUUAAACAAUCCAAGACUUCUUUCACUCUUUAAAGCCAAGAGCCAGGUUAGCGGCGGCGCGGCAGGAGGUUGCGGCCGGCAAAGAGGAGGAGCAGCAGCAGCGGCAGUAGCUGAAACCUACAAAGAAGUACAUUAAUCACGAUAUAUAUUAAAAAGAAAAGGAGGAAAAAAAUAAGACUUGGCUUUUGUACAGUGUAACUGUACUUGUUACUCCGGGGAGACUGGCUCGUAAAAUCCUUGCCCUGCCCACUACUGACUACGGCCGGCACAGCCUAGGUUCAGUGGGACUGAUUCUAGCCAGCGACACACUGG
rnacentral:rRNA from 1 species